GAUGAACGCUGGCGGCGUGCCUAACACAUGCAAGUCGAGCGUGAUUAAGUGGAGUGAGGACUUCGGUCUGAGUGAAACUUAUGAAAAGCGGCGGACGGGUGAGUAACGCGUGGGCAACCUGCCCCAUACAAGGGAUAGCCAUUGGAAACGGUGAUUAAUACCUUAUAAGUCGGUAGUCUCGCAUGAGAUAGCCGACAAAGAUUUAUCGGUAUGGGAUGGGCCCGCGUCUGAUUAGCUAGUUGGUGAGGUAACGGCUCACCAAGGCGACGAUCAGUAGCCGACCUGAGAGGGUGAUCGGCCACACUGGAACUGAGACACGGUCCAGACUCCUACGGGAGGCAGCAGUGGGGAAUAUUGCACAAUGGGCGCAAGCCUGAUGCAGCAACGCCGCGUGAGUGAAGAAGGCCUUCGGGUUGUAAAACUCUGUCCUAUGGGAAGAAACAAAUGACGGUACCAUGGGAGGAAGCCCCGGCUAACUACGUG
rnacentral:rRNA from 1 species